UUCAUUAGAAUUCAUGUCUGCAUUGUGCUUUUCAAUAAAGUGUAGAUUUUACCUCUUCACUGAUCUAAGAACAUAAUUUAAGAGCUAAGCUUUGGAUGUCCCACAGAAUUUGGUCUGUGCAAGUAUGAAAUAUUCCUGUUUUAUUAGAGUUUUUGACAAUUCAAAAAGACCAAGCUAUUUUAAAUUAAGUUCCCAGAUAAUAGGAUUUGGACAACAGCCAUAAGAGACGUGCAUGGGAUGUGAAUUCAAGAUAUUUUUUUAAGGUCCCAAAGAGCUUACACAACUAAGGAUGAAAUUUAGAAGCUAUUAACUGGUCCACUUGUAGGUGAAGCAAUACUUGCUUUCACAUACCUACUGUGUGCUGCCUACUCCUACCUCGAAAGUGAACUGCUCUGCUAUUUCAUACUCACAUCUCCCCUCCCCAGACUCCUGCUCCAAGAACAUGCUUAGAUCCAUUCACUUACAAGGAAUGGCGUCCAGCUCUCCUCUCUCCCUAGGGAAUGAGGAAUUCAAUACCAUGAAAAGAAUGGAGCUUUCAGACACAAACAAAUCUGUGUCCGAAUUCUGCCACUUACUUUCAUGUGGCCCUGAGUAUAUUUCUUAACCUCUCUGAGCUUCAAUUCAUAAUGUUUAAAAUGGGGUCCAAUAUUUAUUUUAUAGGAUCAUUGGGGUCUUGAACAAAAAUUGAAGGGCAGUAUCUGAAGCCUAGAAGACACUCAAUACAUUCUGCUUAUGACUAUUUCAAGGUGUGACUAAUCAGGCUGCCAGGAAUUCUAUGAUAGAGGUACCUCAGUUUCUGGGUCAUGCCAAAACAUUCUUGAAAAGAGGAAACAAUAACCUUAAGCUGAGUUAUUCAUUCCUCUUCAAUUCUUUAGGGAGUGUUAAAAAACAAAAAAGGAAAAGAAACAGUCUCAGUGGUUGGCAUGGCCUUACACCUCUGCAUUUCCAGGAAAUAGACAUGGUACUUUUUCUUUAUAGGAACAAUGCCCUCUUUAAAAAUUUUCUCAAAGAAUAUAUUCUGAGGUGACCUUUGUCACAGCACUUACAAUAUCUGAUUCCUGUUUGUCUUCUCACAAAUGUAUAAAUGCCUUGAGGACAGUCUUGUUCAUCUCUCUGUCACCAGUGACUAGCUCAGCUCAUGGAACGCAAAAAUCAUUUUGUUAAAGGGAGGCUGUACUUAAUAUGAAGACGAAUCCAUUCUACUCAACUAUCUUCUGAUAAUGAAUACGGCAGGUACAUUAAACAUUUAGUGUAUAUUAUAAUAUCUAGAAAAAAGCUUUUGAUAACUUACAUUAGACUCCCUACCACCCGGUUAACAAUGUCUUGAACUUCACUUAGUGACAGCUAUGCCAUUUUGAAUACUUGGGAUAUUUUUCUUUUCUUUUCAUUUAGUUUAUAUUUAAAUCAACUGGCUUUCCGCCUUUCGCAAUGACACCUUUAAGAGUGAGUCAGGGAGGCAGACAGAGAGGCAGUGUGGGUGCCCGGUAGAGGCGAGGCUUUGAACAUCUGGCCUCAAAUUGGUUUCUACUUCAUACCAGCCAUGCAGCCAGAAGCAAGUCGCUCAACCUAACUGUCUCCAUUUCUCAUAAUACUUAUGUUACAGGAUUGUUGUGAAGAAUUAUUGGUAAUAGGUAGAAGUAUCAAACACAUAAUAGGUAUUUGAUGCUCUGUCCUCACCCUCCACUCUUCAGUGUGUGUCUUGAGUAUCUACUUUGGAUUAGUAUUUAGUGAGUUUCCCCCCUUGCUCUUCUGUCAGGCAUUAAGUCAGUCAACAUUUAAUGCACACCAAUGGUGGACAUCUUACCUCACUUCCAAAAAUCAUUAUGAGAAUUGGACUGUUUUCUAUUCAAGGAAAUGAGCAUGUGGAAGUACCUUCUGUACUUAGAAUCACAAUCAUUCUAACUAUUUUCUGCCUAAUCUGACUGUUUCUUUGUUCCCACCAUCCUUUUUAGCAAACCACUUUGGUAUUUCUGCAAGGCUUGGCUACCAUUCUGUGCUUGAGUAUCUCAGAUCUCUGUUCUUCUAUGAUCCUUUGAAGACAGCAGAAAAAAAGAUGCGCUAAGGUUUUCUGAACCAUUUCCUAUAUGCCGAGUUCUGAGUACCUAUUCAACUGCUGAGGACAUAUAAAAAAGAAGUUAUUGGACAACUUUUCCAAGCUGACUUUUUGGCAGGAAACCCCAGAGGGAGGGAAAAUGGAGCUGUCAUGAGCUCGCCAAUGUCGCCCACAUGGUGCCCACGCUGGUUCCUUCAGAGACUUCAUCACUUCCACGGAAGGGCCAGAGGCCCUGCCAAUAUCUGCACAUCAUUGGCAUGAUAGACCAUAACAGCUUCUUCUGAGCCGUUCCGGUCUGUGGUGUCAAUGCGUACUCAGGGAGUCCUCAAUGCACGGAUCAUUGACACGGCAUUACAUAACGGCUCCUUAGCAGCCAUUAUUGGGUAUCAAGUCAAUGCAUACUCAGGGAGCCUUUAACGCGCAGGCCUGCACAAGCAGACACAUUCCGAAUACUAAAAUUCCUUAGGAAAAUUAGUCAUUGCCCAUGUGUGAUCGCUAUUUUCCAUCUUGAAUUUUAACCAUUUCGGGGAAAAGGCGAGAAGGGAAAAUACCAGAGUCAUCUGAAAAGUCCUUCGAAGACUUGUACAAAAGUUGUCAGGGUGGGCUGAGCACGUGAAGAUGAUGAGCAUCUAACUUUUUCCUUUCCGUAGCUUCAUUUUAUUGUGUCGAAGUUCUAGAAAGCACUCCGCUUUCACGGAGGCUCUUUUCAGGCAGGGUACAGCCCAGAAAACCUUUCUUGUGGUUGAGAAAUAAAUCCCAGAAAAUGUUGUGGAAAUGAUGACAGGCUAUCUGACUAUAAAAUAACAGUAGUAGGUAUCAUUAUAAUAAGCUUACAGAACUAUACACAUCAACAUAUAGUUUAUGAUGAUCUCUGCAAGAGAUUUCAGUUGGCUGUCAUUCCAGACUUUUAAUAAAUAACAUGUUGGGUAGGAAAGGUUCUGCAAGGAUCAAAAUAAAAUAAUGAUAAUGAAGAUGAGAGUAAUAAUAAUAAUAUAGCCACCAUUUAGUAUAUCCUUAUUAUGUGGCAGGCAUUUUGUAUACAUUAUCUCAUUUAGUUUUCUCAGCGGACGUUACAAAUCAAGAAACCGUAGCAAGGUUAAAUAACUUGACUGAUGUCACACAACUGCUGAGUGACAGUGAGAUUUGAACUGGGCCCGGUGAGAGCCAUGCUGUCACCAUUAUAUUGCUUCUAAUGACAAACAGCUUCAAGGAACUAGGUUUUUAUAGAGAAUAUCCAACCCCUUGUAUGCUUAUUGAUCAGGAAACUGAGGCAGGGUAGUUUUAGUAAUUCCCCCCAAUAAUAAAGAGAGUCAGAGUCAGUACCAGAACGCAACAAGAGAGCAAAUGCCCUUUCUCUCUGACCACAUGUUAACCACAGACAAGACUUGGGAAUUUCAGAGACUCUGUUUGUGUUUUAGAAGGAAUGUCCACUGCUACCAUCACUCCUGAAAAGAUUUCCCCACACCAAGUCAAAAUGGUGCAAGUUUGCUCUUGUUGAUAUUUUUUCCUUUUGUGUUCUGCUUACUGACUGACAUCUGCUAUCAUGCUAAGCAGGUGUUCCUAUGUAAACGAACGUGCCCUGUUUGUGUUUCGCCAUCCUCGCUGCUGCGCACCCAAAUGAGCAGCGUGAUUAAGAAUCCUGUAAAUUUUUGAAAGGAAACGGAUGGCUACCCUACUAGAACAUAAUUACACCGCUCCAACAUCCGCAGCUCACUGCUGCAGCAGAGUUGGAGAACAGCAGAAAUUAAUAAUAUAUAAUAGCAUCAUUCUCGUAAUUUAUAAAUGAAAUAAAGUAGAGAGGAGAUUCUGCUGAUACGCAUUUUCUCCUUAAUUCUAAAAGACAAAGUAUAGAUUAGAAUUUUAGUGGGGUGAAACCUGGCCAGCAGUCUUCCACUAGUUGCCUGAUUCAUGAUAGGAGUGUUUUUGCUUAGGGAAAGGAGCUAAUAUCUUUUAUUAGGCCAGGGGGAAGAAAUGAAUAAACAAGGCCCUCUAAAGGCAAUACUAGAUAAAGGGGGCCAGAAAAACAUCGCUGCGGAUUGUAUGCCCACUGUAUUUUUAAAAGGUAUUAUUACUUUAAGACUUCAUUGUGUGCUGCAUUUUUUCUUUUAUUAUAAUAACAUACCACUGUACGUCAAACCCUCUGAGAAAAGAGAGACCUGAUCAGUUGAAGAUGUGGUCCUACAUAAAUUUUAUGUUAGAAAGCAUUUGUGUAAGUACAAUACACACAGAGUGAACAAUCCUGUACUGUACAACAAAAAAUUUGUUAAUAGGGUAGAUGACAUGUUACAUGUUUUUUACCACAAAAGAAUGCCUUUAUGUCUUUUAAAACAUUAUUUUGAGCACCCUGAAUGUGCCAAUGAGCCUCUUAUUACAAAUCACCAUUAGGGUAAGGGGGUUGAUUCUUUUAAUCAUGCGUUUCAACCAUGCUGGAGAGAUAAUAGAACUUUCCAAAGAGGCAAAUAAAUUAUCUGUUAAAAGUAGCUGGUCCAUUUCUCUGUGACAUAGGAUUGUGGGAGGCGGAUAGAAAUUUAACAUAUUUUUCUGUCUUUACUUGCCAUAGAUAAGCUGCUGGAGAAGUGAACACAGUCAAUUGUUUCAGGGGUCUGUCCCAUGUGAGCCCAAUGCACACCACAGACAGAGACAGGCAGACACACACACACACACACACACACACACACACGAGCAAUUAGCCUUGAGAAAAAUAAUAUUUAUAUUAUUUAAAUAAUGUUACUUAAGCAACUUUUUGUGCUUAAUUCCAAAAAAUGACAAUAUGUCCCCAAAAAAGUCAACAUGGAUCUUCUUGCUUUAAUGAACCUUAGAGAACAUGAAAAUCCUAUUUGCCUUUCCAGAGAGGCACGUCCAUUUAAGAUGCUUAUUCAUUUAAGCAGUAUUCAUUUAAAGGUUCCCUUGAGUAUUACUCUAUGUGUUUUGAUUUGGUUCAGAGAAAAUAAAUUCAUUUAAUAGAUUUACUUCAUUAACAGGUAUUUAUUUAAGUGGGUUCCACUGUAUUUAAAUCUCCAAACAGUUUCCAUUCCUUCCUUGCUUACUUGCUUCAUGUUGACUCUUUUUAAUAAGCCUCCGGUGCCUAGGGUCUUAUUGAGUGUUCGGUUUGAUCAAUAUGGUUAAAUUAAAAUUGUGCAAAAUAUAAGCAAAUGUACUCUAACAACACAGUGAAAAAUGUGCUGUGCGCUAAGCAUUGAUUGGUGCUGCGGACAUGGAUGUGUUGUGGUGGAUAGGCCUCUAAGCUACCAGGAAGCUACAACCUCCGCCCCUUUCACGCAGCCCUAUGGUCAAGCAAGGGCUCAGGCAUGCCCACUGAAGUAGGGGAGAAAGGAGAUGCAUGUCAGGUGUUUUGCUUUUUGAUUCAAUGGAAAGCAGAAUCUAAGACUCACAGUGAAAUCCUUUGUAAAGAGAAAAAAAGCUAAGAUCAUAUAAAAUUAAGCUCUGACUAUUGCAGAAAUGCUUUAGGCAGUGUCAGUUUAGGAAUGAGGAGCCUGAUUCUUUUUCACAGAGUAACUUUUUAUUUAGUUGUAAUUAUUCAGAAAGCUUAAUCAUUUGGUAGCUUGUAUCCUUUUUCAAACUUCUUGCUUGUCACAUUUGGUUUGGCAAGUUAUCCAAAAAAACCACCCUAAUUUCUAAAAUAUACCAAAAAUCAG